UAAAAUCGCGACGAACGCAUUUAGUUCAAAUAUUUUCAAAAUACACUCCAGCAAAAAAUACAAUUAUGCCACAACACAAAUAUGAUAUAAAAAGUCUUUUUUAUUUGCAUUUUACGGGAAAAAAAUACAAAAAAAUUUAAAUAAAAAAGCGUGAAUCACACAGGCCAAGCAAAGCACUUAGAAGUAAACUAUUAACAUUUAAUAAACGGGUUCAAAAGCUGCUUGUAAAGAGAUAUAAAGACAUUUAAGGGUUUAUCAAGAUGUUUCUCAAUUACAGUUAAAUCUGUUUCUGUACAAACAGAUGAUAAAUAACCAAUAUGUAGUUAAAUUAAAUAUUUCUGCAUGAGUUUUAAUUGUUGGCAUGUUAAUAAAAGCCUAAAAUGUCCUUAUAUCUCCUCACAGCAACAUCAUGGUGAAUUAUGAACACUUUAUUAAAUGCUAAUGUACAGGCUGGUUACAGUUAAAGUGUUUUCUUGUUUAUUCUGUUUAACUGAAGCUCGUGUUAAAGCUCAAAAUAGAGAAAUUGUGUCUCAUGCUGGAGCUACAGUUGCAGGGAAGUGAAGGCAGACACACUAACUACACCUGUGAGCUGCUCAGUACAAGCAGAGCUUCCCCUUAAAUCAGUUUGAUUUAUUA